rnacentral:misc_RNA from 1 species
CAGGGCGAGGUACGGUAGUAUACUAGUGUACAUAUGUACAUAAGUGGGCCCCCCAGCUUAGUACAAAACGUGUUGAGAUAUUAUGAGCAUGGAGGUAGGAAAUGUUAUGAGCAUGGAGGAAUAAGAACACGAGAGAGAAUCUUGUUGUUUUUCGCAUUCGCGCUAUAUACUGACUGCAAGGACUUGAGUCGUGAUACAUGGGGUAUACCGAUACAUGGAGUUGAGUCUGAGAACAAAUCGAGCCAUUUCGUUUGGUAGCCACAUAAACGUCAGGUCCAUUGUUUUUACUUGACACUCGAGAACCAGUAAUGUCAAGUGUUAUGAGUGAUAUCGGCAGAAGCGUGCAUACAGUGUGGAACCAGCUGAGGUAUGAACACCUUGUGGCAGGAAUCAGUGGUGGAAUUGUAUCUACAAUGAUGCUUCAUCCAAUGGACCUGAUCAAGAUCAGAUUACAGGUUAAUGAUGGAAACACAGCACGUCCCACUUACCGAGGUGUUACUGAUACUUGCAAACAUGUCAUCAGACAGAAUGGAUGGAGAGGAUUAUAUCAAGGAGUUGUACCCAAUGUUUGGGGUGCUGGGGCUUCCUGGGGUUUUUACUUCUUCUUCUACAAUGCCAUCAAAGCCUACAUGGGAGAUGGGAGACAAGAACCUCUAGGACCAAGCUCUCAUAUGCUAGCAGCUGCACAGUCAGGUAUCCUGACAUUGUUGAUAACCAAUCCAUUAUGGGUUACCAAGACACGUCUUUGCCUUCAGUAUGAAGGUAUAAGUAAAGAUGUACGCUCAGCACAAAGUACCAAAUACAACGGCAUGUUGGAUGCACUGUGGAAGAUAUGCAGACAUGAAGGUGUUGGCGGACUGUACAAGGCACAUUCGAUGAAGCAUGUUUCGACUCUAAAGUGGCCUGGCGCAGUCUCUGGGAGAAUGGAAUACUGGUGUAUCCACCACCGUACCCCCUGGUUUCAACCUAGACAGGUGAGAGUGGACCACUCUCAACAGGAUCCGCACUCUACAUGCCAGGUCUGCACACAAUCUAUAUAAAUGGAAGUUCCGGGACAACUCGGCAUGUAAUUGCGGCCAUCCAGAUCAGACCAUCUCACACAUUGUGAAUGACUGCAUGCUGACGAAGUUCCCAGUAUAGGCUGCUGCAACAGUCAUACGCAAGAAGAAGACUUGUUCGCCUCACGGCUUAACCAUCAGACUGCAUCCCUUGCAGGAUCAUCUACGACUGGUAGCAUGCCUAUUGUCAGGGAAACACUCAGACAGCAGGGCAUAUCAGGAAGGGCUGCCGAUGUCAUCAUCGCGUCCUGGCAAACUUCUACCCAGAGCUGCUACAGAACAGCACUGGGCACAUGGCUUCACUUCUGUGCUCGCACAAAAACGAAUCCAAUUCGAGCAGAUGUCACAUCUGUAAUUGCCUGCCUGAAUGAACAAUUUCAUAAUGGCUCACAAUACAGCUAGCAGCCUGAACACUCUGAGAAGUGCGUUAUCAGCUGUGGUGCUUCCCAAGAAUGGAAUCACCGUGGGAUCUUACCCACUCGUCAAACGGUUUUUGACUGGCGCAUUCAACUUGCGACCACCAAAGCCAAGAUGUUCAUCUACUUGGGAUGUGAUUGUGGUAUUAAAUUACCUUACAAGUUUAGGGCCAAAUAAUAGCCUAACCCUUAAGGACCUAACAGUGAAACUGGUCAUGCUUUUAUCCCUGAUUUCAGGGCAGCAUUGUCAAACACUGGCAUUAAUGAAUUUAGAUAAUGCUUAUACUACUGCCAAGGGUGUAACCUUUGUAAUUUCUGAGUUGACUAAAAUUAGUAAAGCAGGGAAAGCUCCUGUUAAUGUUGUAUUGGAGGCUUAUCCUCAUGACAACUUGCUUUGUGUAAUGCGUGUUCUGAAAACUUACCUGCAAAAGACACGCCCACAUAGGAAAGAUAAGGGAUAUUUAUUGCUCAGUUAUGUUCGACCUCACAAAAUUGUAGGGACCAAGACAAUUUCUCGGUGGGUCAAGUCCACGCUGUUGUUGUCAGGCAUUGACAGAGGGACAUUUGAGGCCCAUAUAGUACUCGUGCUGCAGCCUUCAUUGCUGCGUUAAGUCAUGGAACACCGCUGAACAUUAUUAUGAAAUCAGCUGGAUGGACACAGAACGCCACCUUUACGAAAUUUUACAAAAAAAACAAUAGUUUGCCAAAACAAGUUUGCUGAAUCGGUUCUCAUGACUAAAAAAUUGUAGAAUGGUGGAACACACCAGAUUCUGUAUUACUUUAUUGUAAGCAAACCGUCCAUAGAGACAAGAAACAGAAUUGUUUUAAGUAAAUACCACGCAAAGGAGUGGUUGAGUAUCAAUUUAUUGCGACAAUUAGUUUCGUAACGUCCAUAGAGAUGAGAAGCAAAAAUGUAUUUAAGUAAAUACCACGCAACUGAGUGGCUGAUCAUUAAGUUAUUACGAUAAGUAGUUUCGCAAGAAUGUAUGAGAAGAAACAUACAGCUUAAAGAGAUUAAAUGAUCUUUGAAGUUCACGAGUCCGAA